rnacentral:misc_RNA from 1 species
GUAGGUGAACCUGCGGAAGGAUCAUUACCGAGUGAGGGCCCCCGGGCUCGACCUCCAACCCUUUGUCGUUACAACCACUGUUGCCUCGGGGGCGACCCGGCCUCCGCGUCGGGGCCCCCGGUGGGCCGAUUACAAACACUGCGUCUUUGCGUCCGAGGAAAAGUAAAUCAAUUAAAACUUUCAACAACGGAUCUCUUGGUUCUGGCAUCGAUGAAGAACGCAGCAUCUGACUGACUUCAGGUUGCGGAAU